UAUCAUUCACAUACCUAUAUUCUAAUAUACACUUUUUUGUUCUCUCAUUCAUCAGUACACCCACACCACUUUUCACUCACUCAUUAUCUUUUACUCCAGAUUAAUAUUCCUACAAUGUCAUUCCUUACACACUCAAAUGCACACCCCUUUUCAUAUGUUUCACUUACACAGAAGGCAUCCAGCUUAUAUUUGCAGAGUUUUUGUUCAUUCUCUUUCACUUAUCUAUUCACAUUCCACAUCCCCAAUCCCCAUUUCCAUUUUCAUUAUCCUUUAUCCAGUCCAAUUUUAAAUCCAUUUUUGAUGGUCUGGUUUUAUUUCCUUUGACCUUUAUAAAUCAUAAGAAAAAUUUCAUUAUGUUCAUAAUCAGCCAAACAAUGGUGACCCCAUUGAGGGUUCCAGACAUCUUUGAGCACCAUUUUGACAAGUUUCUUAUUUCUAGUCACUUUCUUUAGACAUAAGGCCAUUCAUAAAUACAUGUGAGAGAGUUGUAUGAGAGAUCAGAGGAAUAUGGUUGACUUGAUUAUAUGUGAUGAAAUAUUGAGGGGAAAGAUUAUGGACAUGAGUGAUUAGGAGUGUAAAGAUAGGUUCAGAUCACUAUCUGGUGAUCUUUAGGAUGAUUCUACUGAGGAGAUGAAGAAAUGUAAGAAAACUGAGGACAAAAGAAUGCAAAUGAAAAUAGCGGAUCUGAAGCAAUAGGUAUACGAGAAAAUAUGUGAAAAGCUAGUUUGAGUGAAUGAGAAUAUAUCCAAUGUGGAGGAUGUGUGGACACAUUUUAAGGAAUGUGUAAUGAGUAUUGCCAGAUC
rnacentral:lncRNA from 1 species